CUUCACCGACCCCAGCAACAAAGGCCGCUCGCGAUCCUGACCAUAGGUCGCGAGCAGCGCCUGCGCCUC
rnacentral:antisense_RNA from 1 species